ensembl:lncRNA
CCGGCCCUAAGCUGUCGGCUAUAGGUGCAUCCUGCUGGCGGGGAUCAAACGUUUGCCGCCGAAUACGUCAGUCCCAUUUCUUGCGAGAUGACUGCUUCAUUUUCUCUGCCGGUUGCCUCGGUCUAAUGGGCCGCGGUCGUCCGGCGGCUAGCCGCUUUUAAAUACAAGGCUACUCUCAAAAUCGACCAGCCAUGUUGGUUUGGACACACAUUCGCAUCAGUUCGUCCCUCAAUCGCGAAUUACUACAGCCUGCAGUUUGCUAGCUAGCAAAGUCAUGGACUACCAUCGUUUAAAUACCUUGGCCAGAGCGUAACCGGUUAUCUUCACCCAAGAGACCUACUGUUGGUCAAUUGUUUUGGCUUUAAAGGUAAAUGCAUUGUUAGUCACAAUGUCUAGUUACUGGGCCAAAAGGAAAAUAAUAUUGAAAGGAGUUGAGGGACAAACAGGACAUUCACUUGAAUCACUACAUGCUACAGAAGUUGCAUCAAUUCCAGAAAACCAGGAAAAUGUUGAGCCAUCUGUAGACUUCAGAGCUGGUAUGUAAAAUGUAUUGCUGUGAUGCUUAAUUUGUGAUCCUGUAACUAAACUCUACACUUUGUUAGAUUUUCUAAUUUCUGUUCCCUCUUUCUCAGAACCAGGUUUCUCCCCAGUAAUCCAGACUCCACUUCAUAGAGCCAAGAGUUUGAGUGCAAGUAAGUGAUGUUAUUGGUGACGUUUUUUGUCUUGGAAACUUUUGCUUCUAUUUAAGAUUAGGAAUCAUUUUAUCCAUAAUCUGUUUUUAAUUAGGGCACUUGACUUUCUGGAUAAAAGGUGUCGAGGUGUGUUGCACAUUCCAUUAGCUUUGCACAGUUCAAUUAUUGUUUCAUUACUGAAUAUGCAAUCUCUGCAGUGAAAUUAAAGUUAUGUUUGUUCCCCCAGCUCGUCAAGUACUAAGCUUUACACCCCCAGCAGCAAAUUUACCCUGGCAGCAUAUGGGUGAAAACGCUGGAGAUUUCCAGAGACUCCAGAAUGAAAACCAAGCCCUGAGGGAGGAGAACCAAGCCCUGAGGGAAUGCAAUGCACAAGCAGCUUCGGAUGACAGCCGCUCACUUCAAGAGCAGGUGAAGCAAGUAGGGACAAUGUUGAAGACGUUUGCUCUAACUGGGCAAUCAGGUGCGUUACCUGAAAGGAGCAUCUGACCUUGAAGGCAGAAAAAGGUGCCUUAAACCUAGGCUGACUACUGACACCCCAGCAUCACUGAACUGGAACACUUUCUUUAUCCUGCAGUCAGUAACUUCAAGAAGCCAGAAGUGCCAGAAUACACUCACCAAAUCCACCCUGUUCACUGUGGAUUUUUUAUUUAUUUUUGUAUUUUAACUUUAGUAUUGGCUUUUUUCAUUCCGUCAGUGCUUAACGAUUCUAUAAUAGUUUGUAAAUCCUAUUUCAUACCUGUUACUUGAUAUUGCACAUUAACUGGUACCAACAUUCUACUUUCAUUCCAUCAGUGUGCUUAACUGUUAUUCUAUUAAUAAUAGCUUGGAAAUACUAUUUCAUACCACUGAUACUUGAUAUUGCACAUUACCUGGUACCAAAUAUUCUACUUACUCUGUUUUUAACAUCAGCAUUUUUCAUUCCGCUUAACUGUUAUUCUGUUGUUAAAUAUAGCUUGUAAAUCCAUGUGCCACAGGUCAGCAUUGCAGUUAUAAUGGUCUGUUCUCCUACUGUUUGUACCUCCGUAUUUUUAUAUAAAUAUAUAUGUCAAG